AUUGCCAUGGCAUUGGUUUAUGAUAUUGGACUUUCCUGUUUCAAACAAACGAUGCGAAGUAAAGCCAAUAUUAUGAUAUAUAUCUGAUGUUCGUUUCAAGUGCGUUAUCGCGGGCGCACGUGUCAAACAACUUCGAAAUACCUAACUAAUUUAAGUUUAGUUUGCAGGUAUAUAAUACCGAUUUUGAUACUAUAUGUAGCUAGCUUUUUCAGUGCUAAUGUGCUGUUCUUACCGAUUAUGGUUCAG